rnacentral:snRNA from 1 species
GUGUUGGUAGCAUGUAUUCUAAAAUUAGAACAAUACAGAAACCAUUAGCAUGUCUCCUUUGCAAGGAUAAUAUGGAAAUUCAGGAAGCAUUCUAUAGUUUC